CAAACUGCUAAGGGACGGAAGAACCUGUGCUGUGUAGAGAAGGUCUGUCUGGAACCUGCUACUGGGAGAUAGAAAACAGCGGGGACCGUGUUUCUCUAGCUGUCUCAUAGAAAUGGAUCUGCAGAAGAGAGUCCAGACCCCGUUCACUGAGCCCCUCCAUCCUGUGUACUUUGUCUGGGAUGCAUCUGUCUGUGAAGAUAGUGACACCCGUACAGUGAGGAACUUGCAUGCAGUAUGACAUGCUCAAACCCCUAAAUCAAUUGAUUUGAAUAUUUCACGAUGUUGAAAUAAAU